UACAGAGGUCUCAAGCGUUGUUCGGAUUCAUUGGGCGUAAAGGGUGUGUAGGUGGCGCGCUAAGUCGGGUGUGAAAUUUCGGAGCUUAACUCCGAAACUGCAUUCGAUACUGUCGUGCUUGAGGACUGGAGAGGAGACUGGAAUUCAUGGUGUAGCAGUGAAAUGCGUAGAGAUCAUGAGGAAGACCAGUGGCGAAGGCGGGUCUCUGGACAGUUCCUGACACUGAGACACGAAGGCCAGGGGAGCAAACGGG
rnacentral:rRNA from 1 species